rnacentral:rRNA from 1 species
CAGCCGCCGCGGUAAUACGUAGGGGGCAAGCGUUAUCCGGAUUCAUUGGGCGUAAAGCGCGCGUAGGCGGCCUGUUAGGUCGGAAGUCAAAUCCGGGGGCUCAACCCCCGUCCGCUUCCGAUACCGGCAGGCUUGAGUUUGGUAGGGGAAGGUGGAAUUCCCAGUGUAGCGGUGGAAUGCGCAGAUAUUGGGAAGAACACCGGUGGCGAAGGCGGCCUUCUGGGCCAUAACUGACGCUGAGGCGCGAAAGCUAGGGGAGCGAACAGGAUUAGAUACCCUGGUAGUCCUAGCCGUAAACGAUGGACACUAGGUGUGGGGAGAUGUUCUCUCCGUGCCGCAGCUAACGCAUUAAGUGUCCCGCCUGGGGAGUACGGCCGCAAGGCUAAAACUCAAAGGAAUUGACGGGGGCCCGCACAAGCAGCGGAGCAUGUGGCUUAAUUCGAAGCAACGCGAAGAACCUUACCUGGGUUUGACAUAUAGGUGAAGCGGCGGAAACGUCGUGGCCGAAAGGAGCCUAUACAGGUGGUGCAUGGCC